rnacentral:rRNA from 1 species
UACGUAGGGGGCGAGCGUUGUCCGGAUUUACUGGGCGUAAAGGGUGAGUAGGCGGUUAUAUAUGUCAGGUGUAAAAAGCUAUGGCUUAACCAUAGUAAGCACUUGAAACUGUAUGACUUGAGUGCAGGAGAGGUAAGCGGAAUUCCUAGUGUAGCGGUGAAAUGCGUAGAUAUUAGGAGGAACACCGGUGGCGAAGGCGGCUUACUGGACUGUAACUGACGCUGAGUCACGAAAGCGUGGGUAGCAAACAGGAUUAGAUACCCUGGUAGUCCACGCCGUAAACGAUGAGUGCUAGGUGUUGGGCAGCAAUGCUCAGUGCCGAAGUAAACACAAUAAGCACUCCGCCUGGGGAGUACGUACGCAAGUAUGAAACUCAAAGGAAUUGACGGGGACCCGCACAAGCAGCGGAGCAUGUGGUUUAAUUCGAAGCAACGCGAAGAACCUUACCAAGGCUUGACAUCCCCUUGACAGAUGCAGAGAUGUGUCCUCCUCUUCGGAGGCAAGGGAGACAGGUGGUGCAUGGUU